GAUGAACGCUAGCGGGAGGCUUAAUACAUGCAAGUCGAACGGUAAGGCUCAGCUUGCUGAGUACACAAGUGGCGCACGGGUGAGUAACGCGUACGCAAUCUACCCUUAAGAGGGGGAUAGCCCUGGGAAACUGGGAGUAAUCCGCCAUAGUAUAUAGAUAAGGCAUCUUAUUUAUAUUAAAGCUUCGGUGCUUAAGGAUGAGCGUGCGUUUGAUUAGUUAGUUGGUGAGGUAACGGCUCACCAAGACGAUGAUCAAUAGGGGGCGUGAGAGCGUGAUCCCCCACACGGGUACUGAGACACGGACCCGACUCCUACGGGAGGCAGCAGUAAGGAAUAUUGGACAAUGGGCGGCAGCCUGAUCCAGCCAUCCCGCGUGCAGGAAGACGGCCCUCUGGGUUGUAAACUGCUUUUAUAUACCAAGAAACGCCCCCACGUGUGGGGGUUUGACGGUAGUAUAUGAAUAAGCACCGGCUAACUCCG
rnacentral:rRNA from 1 species